rnacentral:siRNA from 1 species
UCCAAAUGGCCAAACAAACAGGAC